rnacentral:rRNA from 1 species
GACGAACGCUGGCGGCGUGCUUAACACAUGCAAGUCGAGCGGGGAUUGAUGAAGUGCAUGCACGGAUUCAAUUCUAGUGGCGGACGGGUGAGUAACGCGUGAGCAAUCUGUCCCAGACGGGGGGAUAACACUUGGAAACAGGUGCUAAUACCGCAUAAGACCACGGGAUCACAUGAUUCUGGGGUAAAAGAUUUAUCGGUCUGGGGUGAGCUCGCGUCCGAUUAGCUAGUUGGUGAGGUAACGGCCCACCAAGGCGACGAUCGGUAGCCGACCUGAGAGGGUGAUCGGCCACAUUGGAACUGAGACACGGCCCAG